UACGUAGGGUGCAAGCGUUAAUCGGAAUUACUGGGCGUAAAGCGUGCGCAGGCGGUUGUGUAAGACAGAUGUGAAAUCCCCGGGCUCAACCUGGGAACUGCAUUUGUGACUGCACAGCCGGAGUGCGGCAGAGGGGGAUGGAAUUCCGCGUGUAGCAGUGAAAUGCGUAGAUAUGCGGAGGAACACCGAUGGCGAAGGCAAUCCCCUGGGCCUGCACUGACGCUCAUGCACGAAAGCGUGGGGAGCAAACAGG
rnacentral:rRNA from 1 species